GCAUUGGUGGUUCAGUGGUAGAAUUGGUGGUUCAGUGGUGCCACGCUGGAGGCCCGGUUCGAUUCGGCCAAUGCA
rnacentral:tRNA from 1 species